UUGUUGGAUCCGAACACGUAACGGGGUUAAUUUUUGGAAUCUACUGACUCAACUGGAUUUGGGAUCAAGAUCUGACACUGGAAAACCAAACAGAUCACCAGAUAUUGCCAUUCUACCUUUCCUACGAGUUCCCCAGAACUGCCAACGGACAUACAAGCUGAUGUCCUCUGACCCUGAUGGCGACAAAGUUCGAUGCAGAUAUGGAAGUAUCAGAAAUAUAGAAUGUUCCAACUGUAACCUACCUUCAGGCUUCGUGUUAGAUCAGGACUCUUGCUUAUUACACUACCGCUACACCAAUGCCAACCCAAGAGUUAAUGCAUUUGAGUUGGUGGUGGAGGACUUCCCACAAAGACCCAUCUCUCUGUCCUACUCUGAUGGAACCCAAUCCCACAAGUCUCCACUGAGUGCAAGGAGGAACAGACGAGCCAUAAACCACGGGUCUACUGCAGCACCAACAACUGUAGCACCAACAACAGCAGCACCAACAACUGCAGCACCAACAACUGUAGCACCAACAACUGUAGCACCAACAACAGCAGCACCAACAACUGUAGCACC